rnacentral:hammerhead_ribozyme from 1 species
AUUUAGAUGACGAGUCCCAUAUAGGACGAAACGUGGGUCCUAGAU